ACAGUUGCUGGUCCACAAUGACUUUGAUAGUAGGAGAAAAAAAAUACUAUGGAUGUCACCAUGAACCAGUAACUGUUUGGUUAUACACCUUCUUCAAAAUAGCAUUUAUGUUUAGCAGAAGAAGGAUACUCAUUCAGGUUUAAAACAACUUUUGAGUGGGUACAUGAAGGUAUAAAAAACAAAACACUAUCCUAUUUUAAUUUUGGGGUGAAUUAUUCCUUUAAUGUUAAUAAAACAACAAACACAAAGAGAAAAAUCACUCAAUACUCUUGACUGAAAAACUUUAAUACAGUUUAUUUAAUAGGAAUGAAUGUAUAUAGUGUUUGAUUUUUAUUUGUUCAUUCAAUUUUUUGAAUGCUCCUGCUAAAUACUAUUGUACCUGAAAAUAAAACAGUUUAUAUUUUUUUGUAUGUUAUGUGUAUUUUUUUAUAAUAACAAUAAUGACAAAGAUUUUAUUUUCUCCCACUUUGGCUUAAAUAUCCACCAUACUCUUUUAUAUUUUGUUACCUUAAAGUAACAAGCUUUGUCUUUAUAAUAGAGAAAUCAGUUUGGCUGUGAAGCACAAACAGCUUGCAAAAUAGAAAAACCAAUAUGACAAAGAAUCCUGAUAAAAUCAUGAUAUUUCUAAAAAAAAAAAAAAAAAAAAAUUGUGACAUUUUUGCCAUAUCACCCACCAUUCAGGAACACAGUAGUUGCCCACGAUUCAUAAGGGCAGACAGAGGAAAGGAAAAUCUUCUCGUCGGACAGAUGCAAGUGGCAUUUCACUUCCGGGAGUCUGGUGAUCAAGGACAAGACUCCUUCAGAGUGGGAACAUCAGUACAUAUUCAGGCAUAUGAGCAUAAAUGGACUUAUAUAUUAUAAUGCAUGCAAAAUAUACAUUUUAUAACAAGAUAUAAUAUUUAUUAUUUUGUUUUAUUAGCAAGUUGAAUGCUUCAACAGUAUGCUGAAGAAAACAUGGAUCAAAAAAUAGCAGGUGACAUUUGAGGCCAUGAUAGAAUCUGGCAUGCUCGAUUUGGACAAUCCUGUACACAUAAAUUGCCUGCAAUAUACACACUUUCCCCUUCUUGAGAGAGAGCUGAACAUAGAGCAAAGACUGUGGAACACUCACGACAUUCGCAAGCAAAAGAAUGUUUCAGGUCCAUUUGGAAAACCAGACCUUCUCUUUACUUCCCCACCAAAGGUAUCCAUUUCAUCCAAAUUAAAAUGGUUCAGAAAAGCAGUAGCCAAUGUGAAAAAGACUUCCUGCAGGCAUUGCUAUGCUCUUCAAAGUAGACAACGACCUCCUGAAGUGUGCAGAACAGCUUGUUUGUGGAGUAGAGGAGCCUUUCUUGGUGGAAAAUGAAGAAUUCAGAAAAAUAUCAGAGGCUAUUCUGCAAAAUACAAACUUCACAUCAUCACCAGACAGGUCUUUGGCAGCUCACCUCAUGCUGGUGGAGAAAUUCACCACAGUCCUUCAAACAAAAGGCAUUCCCAUUCCAUUCAUGUUUGCAGAGUCAAAUGAAAUCUACUAGCUGCUGGCCAAUGAGACAGUGACUUUUUAACCGCUUAUCCAACAAAAUAAAUCUGUAUAAAGGGACCA
ensembl:lncRNA